ACCUUUCCUUACUUACCUGUUUACCUGCUCAACUGAAUGUUCGAUGGGUGGAGUCAUCUGUUGUGGAGUGGAACUGAGUCUCCCUGCCAGUCACUGACCCAUUAACAUCCUGAAUGAUGGCCCUAUGUAACAUGCUAAUGUGUGAGGGCUAAAAUGUGAGAUCUGACCCACAGUCUCUUUCUCCAGUCGGGAGUAUCUGGAGACGGGACGUGUCAAAAGCAAAAUGGACGGAUCAAAAGCAUGUUUCUAUUGGUCAAUGAUUCGGUGAGUCACGUAUAUUAUCCAAUCAAAAGCAUGAUCCAAAG